GAUAUAAUGGCUGAUUUAAAGUGAUAAAUUGUAAAUUUAUUUAUGGGAGUAAUCUCUUAUAUUA
rnacentral:tRNA from 1 species